rnacentral:rRNA from 1 species
AGUGAACGCUGGCGGUAGGCCUAACACAUGCAAGUCGAACGGCAGCACAGUAAGAGCUUGCUCUUACGGGUGGCGAGUGGCGGACGGGUGAGGAAUACAUCGGAAUCUACUUUUUCGUGGGGGAUAACGUAGGGAAACUUACGCUAAUACCGCAUACGACCUACGGGUGAAAGCAGGGGAUCUUCGGACCUUGCGCGAAUGAAUGAGCCGAUGUCGGAUUAGCUAGUUGGCGGGGUAAAGGCCCACCAAGGCGACGAUCCGUAGCUGGUCUGAGAGGAUGAUCAGCCACACUGGAACUGAGACACGGUCCAGACUCCUACGGGAGGCAGCAGUGGGGAAUAUUGGACAAUGGGCGCAAGCCUGAUCCAGCCAUACCGCGUGUGUGAAGAAGGCCUUCGGGUUGUAAAGCCCUUUUGUUGGGAAAGAACAGCAGCAGGUUAAUACCCCGCUGUUCUGACGGUACCCAAAGAAUAAGCACCGGCUAACUUCGUG